UCACAUGUGACAAAAGCAUGGUGGCCAA
rnacentral:sRNA from 1 species